rnacentral:misc_RNA from 1 species
GUAGCUUAUCCUCAGCUUUGCGCAAAGUCGGAAGGUAGUCUGCAAGUCUUACAAUCGGACCAGAAACGGCAUUGCCGUCCCACGGCAUGUGCGCCUCACCGGCGGAAAAAAGCAGUUUCAAAGUCACAGUUCCAUCUCGUAGAUACGUUCCGGAAGCGUAUCUCCACAGCCUCGUAUCUCUGCCCGCGCGGCACGUCCUAUCACUUCUAUCCCAAGAGCGGGCUCGCCAUUCUCACCAGAAAGAUGGCGAAGCGACCGACCCAUAUCAUCAAGCAAGACUGCAACGC